UACGUAGGGUGCAAGCGUUGUCCCGGAAUUAUUUGGGCGUAAAGAGCUCGUAGGCGGUCUGUCGCGUCGGCUGUGAAAUCCCGAGGCUCAACCUCGGGUCUGCAGUCGAUACGGGCAAACUAGAGUAUUGCAGGGAGACUGGAAUUCCUGGUGUAGCGGUGAAUGCGCCAGAUAUCAGGAGGAACACCGGUGGCGAAGGCGGUCUCUGGCAUAACUGACGCUGAGGAGCGAAGCGUGGGAGCGAACAGG
rnacentral:rRNA from 1 species